UUGAGGAGGCGGUGACCAUGGCGGUGGAGGAGGAGGAUGAGGUAGCAACACCUGUUUUUAUAUAUUUUAAUUGGGGUAGCCAACAAAAUAUUGGGACAUAUAAAAAAAGACAACUCUGUUUCGCAGAGUAGCUGUUGACAUUAUAGUUGUCCAGGAACUUUGUUGACUCUAGAGACCCUCGGGCAAAUCGCACAUCCCCGUGGUUGCGAAUUUGCAUGCGGAUGUCAUCCAUAUCAACUUUCAAUGCCAGUUUGUGCGCCUACCAUGGUGACCACGGGUAACGGGGAAUCAGGGUUCCAUUCCGUACAGGCACCCUGAGAAACGGCUACCACAUGCAAGGAAGGCAGCAGGCACGCAAAUGAACCACUCCCGACGCGGGAAGGUAGUGACGACAAAUAACAAUACAGGACUCUUUAGAGGCCCUGUAAUUGUAAUGAGUCCACUUGAAAUCCUUUGACUUUGAUCAAUUGGAGGAAAGUCUGGUGCAGAGCCACUGACCCGUGCGUGCUGCAGCUGAAACUCCACU
rnacentral:rRNA from 1 species